rnacentral:rRNA from 1 species
AUCAACUUUCGAUGGUAGGAUAGAGGCCUACCAUGGNNNUAACGGGUAACGGGGUGUUAGGGCACGACACCGGAGAGGGAGCCUGAGAAACGGCUACCACAUCCAAGGAUGGCAGCAGGCGCGCAAAUUACCCAAUCCCGACACGGGGAGGUAGUGACAAUAAAUAACAAUACGGGGUUCUUUCGGAUCUUGUAAUUGGAAUGAGUACAAUUUAAAUCUCUUAACGAGGAACAAUUGGAGGGCAAGUCUGGUGCCAGCAGCCGCGGUAAUUCCAGCUCCAAUAGCGUAUAUUAAAGUUGUUGCAGUUAAAAAGCUCGUAGUUGAAUUUCGGGGUUAGUAGGCUGGUCAUGCCACCGGUAUGUACUGGUCUUACUGAUUCCUCCUUCCUGAUGAACUGUAAUGCCAUUAAUUUGGUGUUGCAGGGAAUCUGGACUGUUACUUUGAAAAAAUUAGAGUGUUUAAAGCAGGCUAACGCUUGAAUACAUUAGCAUGGAAUAAUGAAAUAGGACGUUCGAUCCUAUUUUGUUGGUUUCUAGGAUUGACGUAAUGAUUAAUAGGGAUAGUUGGGGGCAUUAGUAUUCAAUUGUCAGAGGUGAAAUUCUUGGAUUUAUUGAAGACUAACUACUGCGAAAGCAUUUGCCAGGAUGUUUUCAUUUAAUCUAGAACNAAGUUAGGGGAUCGAAGACGAUCAAAUACCGUCGUAGUCUUAACCAUAAACUAUGCCGACUAGGGAUCGGAUGAUGUUAAUUUUUUAAUGACUCCUUUCGGCGUCUUACGGGAAACCAAAGUGUUUGGGUUC